rnacentral:rRNA from 1 species
CCUACGGGAGGCUGCAGUGAGGAAUAUUGGUCAAUGGGCGCGAGCCUGAACCAGCCAAGUCGCGUGAAGGAUGACUGUCCUAAGGGUUGUAAACUUCUUUUAUAAAGGAAUAAAGUGAGGCACGUGUGCCUUUUUGUAUGUACUUUAUGAAUAAGGAUCGGCUAACUCCGUGCCAGCAGCCGCGGUAAUACGGGGGAUCCGAGCGUUAUCCGGAUUUAUUGGGUUUAAAGGGUGCGUAGGGGGGGUGUUAAGUCAGUUGUGAAAGUGUGGGGCUCAACCGUAAAAGAGCAAUUGAAACUGGCAGUCUUGAGUACAGUAGAGGUAGGCGGAAUGCGUGGUGUAGCGGUGAAAUGCUUAGAUAUCACGAAGAACUCCGAUUGCGAAGGCAGCUUACUAACCGCGCACUGACGCUGAGGCACGAAAGCGUGGGUAUCAAACAGGAUUAGAUACCCGAGUAGUC